UCCGGCAUAGCUCAGUUGGUAGUAGCGCAUGACUGUUAAUCAUGAUGUCGUAAGUUCGAGUCUUACUGCCGGAG
rnacentral:tRNA from 1 species